UGUUGAUGGCUGGACAUUGCAUCAUCCUAGAAAACUUGGAGGCCAGUGAGGACAAAAAUAAAAAGUUAUAAGACUUUUAAAUAUGUGGAUAUUUGGGUCCUCUUUGGCGCCCCCUAGAACCUAAACCGUGGGGUGCAGCGUCAUGAUUUUUACAACUUUGAAUGGCCAUGGGGUGUAGAUUGGCCUGAGAAAAUUUGGUGUCAGUGGAACGAAAGCCUUAGGAGGAGUUAGCCACAUUCCAAUGUGUGCGGAUCUGCAAAAAAUGCAAAAUAACCCUUUAACCGUACAUUUUACAGAUACGUGGCCAUUGACUUUUUCGUAGAUCUUAUUGAAAUACACGUGUAUGUCAAAUUUUGUGUCAUUUUGACAAAGCGUACAGGCGUGACACUCUACAAUGUGUAUUUUCACCUUAGGGGACAAGAAAAAAUUGACUUUUUUCUCCUGCCAUGGGGGGGCGCUCUUUUGGGGAGUAAAAAUGCCUUCACAAAUGUGUUGAUGGCUGGACAUUGCAUUAUCCUAGAAAACUUGGAGGCCAGUGAGGGCAAAAAUAAAAAGUUAUAAGACUUUUAAAUAUGUGGAUUUUAGGGUUAUCUUUGGCGCCCCCUAGAACCUAAACCGUGGGGUGCAGCGUCAUGAUUUGAAUAACUUUUAAUGGCCAUGGGGUGUAGAUUGGCCUGAGCAAAUGUGGUGCCGGUGGAACGAAAGCCUUCGGAGGAGUUAGCGAAAUUCCAAUGUGUGCGGAUCGGCAAAAAAUGCGCAAUAACCCUUUAACCGUACAUUUGACAGAUACGCCCGCACUGACUUUUUUGUAGAUCUUAUUGAGAUACAUAUGUGUGUCAAUUUUUGUGUCAAUAUGACAAAGCGUACAGGCGUGACAGUCAAUAGUGUGAAUUUCCACCUUAGGGGGCGCUAUGGAGCCAUUUUGCAUUUUAUUGUUUGGGCGACUUCAGAAUAUCGAAUUUUUCACCAGGCCCGGUCGUCCUGCCAAAUUUCAUGAGUUUUCGCCAGUGGGAAGUGGGCCAUUUUUCCCUUCAAAGGGGAGGAAAAAUAAGAAGAAAGAAAGAAAGAACUAGGGCCCCGUUGGGGCACUGGCGGGCCCGAGCCGUGUCGCAACCCCCCCCCCCCCCAACGCGCUGCCUCCCCGUCCCAUUCGUGUCCUCUGGCCAUCGCCCUCUCUGGUAACGCCCAUCACUGCAAAGACCCUUUUCCUUCAUCGGCGUUUGCUGUUCUUCCUGCCAGUGCGUGUUGCUUUCACUUACACUUGCCACAGCCAGCCUCGUGAGUGCCUAGCCUAUUGGAUAUCACUGUCACCUACACAGGACAGUCAUACUUUGUUUUUUAAUUUCACAUUAAUUUCCAUAUUGUAUAAACGACUGGAAAAAACUUGAGCCCCUGCCCCUGUAUUAUCAUGUGCACGUCCCUGUUCUAGCUCCAAGGUGAAUCUUCACUGCUCAUGUUCUCCUCAGAAGCAGUCACCUCACUCCCCUCAGGUUACUGUACACAUGCACCAACUGCCUGCUUCAGGUUUGGAUGGAGCUUCAUGGUUGUCUUUUGGAGAAAUGAGCAGUCAAGUUGUGUUUGAAAUUUCAUUUUUUUCAGGGGCAAAAGGAAGCCUCUGCAUUCUUGUCAAAUAUGUAAAUAGCAUGUUUUUGCAGGUGCUAAAAAACAGACUCUGAGUGUGUGUAUGUGUGUGUGUGUGUGUGCGUGUGUGUGUGUGUGUCUGUGUGUGUGUGUGUGUGUAUCCUGCAGUACUCUGAGAAGAAUAAUAAGCAUAUUUCUGAGGUGAAUUUUGAAGAUUCAUCUGAGAGUUAGGUUUGAUUCGAUUCGAUUGACGCUCCCCAGCGUUCAAGUCACAUGACAUAUUUAACCGGAUGUAGCUGCAAGACGGAGCCUCGUUAACUCUCCGUUUCAACUUAUCUCAAAAGUGAGGACCUCAACCUAUAUACCAGUUUUUAAAUUGUGUUGAUAGGCCAAAUAAAACCAGAGUUAUGAUAAAUUAUGUCCGCGAUACUUUUUUUCUGCUUAUUUUGAUCACGUUCGGCGCUCGAUCGCGCUGUAUGAGACAGGAAAACAUAGCAUGCACACAUUAGCGACAGGUCUUACAGGCGGAAAAGGCUUGCCAAAAGAAAAAAAAAACACACCACAACAUCUCUCCUAUUGGUGGAAAACUUCACCACAACAACCAAUCCAAAAUUAUAUGGUGACUGAUUGACAAGGGGCGGGCGCUUACGUUCUUCCUGCAACAUGAGAAGGGAGGGAGGGACUCUCAGCAGGGUUGCAGUCUGGGACACGUAGUUGCAAACCUAGCAACUUUGUUGUUAGAUUCAAUUACUUUUCAGACCCCCUAACGACUUUUUUUAGAAAGAAAGGGACUUUUAUCGACUUCUUCUGGAGUUUAGAGACUCUGACAUGAAGCAGGCUUUCCUUACUGAGGAGUUAGCAACGCUGCUAAGGGUGCAGAGCCACACAUGCGCUCCGAGCUCUGCAUGGGAGACUGAAGCUGACAGAGCUGCAGCAGUUAGCAGGUUUCACCCUCAGAGACCACCAGGGGUUCAUGUUGAGGCAUUUUCAGUUUUUGUUUUUUUUGCCAUAGACUGUCAGCACAAUCUGCAGUUACACUAACAAAAAUGCUGCAAAAAACAAAGAAUUAUGGAAAAAUUACACAUGGACUGACAUAGAGGAGGAUCUACACAAGUUUUUUACAUCAUGUUUUACAUCAUGCAUCAUUUACAUCAUGUUUUUUUGUAGUGGCAUAAAUAAAAAGUGACAUUUGUGAGACUAUACAGUGUUUUGUAAAUAAUUUUACAAAGAACGCCUGGGCCAUUGCCUGCAUUUUGAUGUAAAUAGAGGUAAAUCACUAUGUUCUUUGUUAAAAAUUUGCAUAUGUUUUGAAGUUUACAAUUUUUAUUUGAAGUUUAAGUUUUAAAAACAGUUCAUCACACAUAUUUGUGUUUUAAUUUCACAUUAAUUUCCAUAUUGUAUAAAUGACUGGAAAAAACUUGAGCCCCUGCCCCUGUAUAAUCAUGUGCACGUCCCUGUUCUAGCUCCAAGGUGAAUCUUCACUGCUCAUGUUCUCCUCAGAAAUAGUCACCUCACUCCCCUCAGGUUACUGUACACAUGCACCAACUAUCUGCUUCAGGUUUGGAUGGAGCUUCAUGGUUGUCUUUUGGAGAAAUGAACAGUCAAGUUGUGUUUGAAAUCUGAUUUUUUUCAGGGGCAAAAGGAAGCCUCUGCAUUCUUGUCAAAUAUGUAAACAGCAUGUUUUUGCAGGUGCUAAAAAACAGACUCUGAGUGUGUGUGUGUGUGUGUGUGUGUGUGUGUGUGUGUGUGUGUGUAUAUGUGUGUGUAUCCUGCAGUACUCUGUACUCCUGCAGUGGCCAAAAAGACUUUUAAGAAUGUGGAUUUUUGGGUCAUCUUUGGCGCCCCCUAGAACUGCAGUACUCUGUACUCCUGCAGUGGCCAAAAUGACUUUUAAGAAUGUGGAUUUUUGGGUCAUCUUUGGUGCCCCCUAGAACGUAAACCGUGGGGUGCAGCGUCAUGAUUUUUACAACUUUGAAUGGGCAUGGGGUGUAGAUUGCCCUGAGCAAAUUUGGUAUCGGUGGGACGAAAGCCUUAGGAGGAGAUAGCCACAUUCCAAUGUGUGCGAAUCGGCAAAAAAUGCGAAAUAGCCCUUUAACCGUACAUUAUACAGAUACGCGCUUUUUGACUUUUUCGUAGAUCUAAUUGAGAUACACGUGAUUGUCAAUUUUUGUGUCAAUAUGACAAAGCGUUCAGGCAUGACACUCAACAAUGUGUAUUUUCAUGUAAGGGGACAAGAAAAAAUUGACUUUUUUCUCCUGCCAUGGGGGGGCGCUCUUUUGGGGAGUAAAAAUUCCUUCACAAAUGUGUUGAUGGCUGGACAUUGCAUCAUCCUAGAAAACUUGGAGGGCAGUGAGGACAAAAAUAAAAAGUUAUAAGACUUUUAAGAAUGUGGAUUUUGGGUUAUCUUUGGCGCCCCCUAGAACGUAAACCGUGGGGUGCAGCGUCAUGAUUUGUACAACUUUUAAUGGCCAUGGGGGGUAGAUUGGCCUGCGCAAAUGUGGUGCCGGUCGAACGAAAGCCUUCGGAGGAGUUAGCGAAAUUCCAAUGUGUGCAGAUCUGCAAAAAAUGCAAAAUAACCCAUUAACCGUACAUUUGACAGAUACGCCCGCACUGACUUUUUUGUAGAUCUUAUUGAGAUACAUGUGUGUGUCAAUUUUUGUGUCAAUAUGACAAAGCUUACAGCCGUCAUGUGAAUUUUCACCUUAGGGGGCGCUAUGGAGCCAUUUUGCAUUUUAUUGUUUGGGCGACUUCAGAAUAUCGAAUUUUUCACCAGGCCCGGUCGUCCUGCCAAAUUUCCUGAGUUUUCGCCAGUGGGAAGUGGGCCAUUUUCCAGUUUAAAGCGGAGGAAAAAUAAUAACGAAAGAAGGAAACAUGCAGGAACAAGAGGGCUCUCGCAGCUGCUUAGCAGCUACGCUCGGGCCCUAAAGAAAGAACUAGGACCCCGUUGGGGCACUGGCGGGCCCGAGCCGUGUCGCCCCCCCCCCCCCCCCCCAACGUGCUGCCUCCCCGUCCCAUUUGUGUCCUCUGGCCAUCGCCCUCUCUGGUAACGCCCAUCACUGCAAAGACCCUUUUCCUUCAUCGGCGUUUGCUGUUCUUCCUGCCAGUGCGUGUUGCUUUCACUUACACUUGCCACAGCCAGCCUCGUGAGUGCCUAGCCUAUUGGAUAUCACUGUCACCUACACAGGACAGUCAUUACCUUUCUAUUAAUACUUUGUGUUUUAAUUUCACAUUAAUUUCCAUAUUGUAUAAACGACUGGAAAAAACUUGAGCCCCUGCCCCUGUAUAAUCAUGUGCAUGUCUCUGUUCUAGCACCAAGGUGAAUCUUCACUGCUCAUGUUCUCCUCAGAAGCACUCACCUCACUCCCCUCAGGUUAUUGUACACAUGCACCAACUGCCUGCUUCAGGUUUGGAUGGAGCUUCAUGGUUGUCUUUUGGAGAAAUGACCAGUCAAGUUGUGUUUGAAAUUUGAUUUUUUUCAGGGGCAAAAGGAGCCUCUGCAUUCUUGUCAAAUAUGUAAAUAGCAUGUUUUUGCAGGUGCUAAAAAACAGACUCUGAGUGUGUGUGUGUGUGUGUGUGUGUGUGUGUGUGUGUGUGUGUGUGUGUGUGUGUGUGAGUGUGUGUGUGUCUGUGUGUGCGUUCAAGUCACAUGACAUAUUUAACCGGAUGUAGCUGCAAGACGGAGCCUCGUUGACUCUCCGUUUCAACUUAUCUCAAAAGUGAGGACCUCAACCUAUAUACCAGUUUUUAAAUUGUGUUGAUAGGCCAAAUAAAACCAAAGUUAUGAUAAAUUAUGUCCGCGAUACUUUUUUUCUGCUUAUUUUGAUCACGUUCGGCGCUCGAUCGCGCUGUAUGAGACAGGAAAACAUAGCAUGCAGACAUUAGCGACAGGUCUUACAGGCGGAAAAGGCUUGCCAAAAGAAAAAAAAAAACACACCACAACAUCUCUCCUAUUGGUGGAAAACUUCACCACAACAACCAAUCCAAAAUUAUAUGGUGACUGAAUGACAAGGGGCGGGCGCUUACGUUCUUCCUGCAACAUGAGAAGGGAGGGAGGGACUCUCAGCAGGGAUGCAGUCUGGGACACGUAGUUGCAAACCUAGCGACUUUGUUGUUAGAUUCAAUGACUUUUCAGACCCCCUAACGACUUUUUUUAGAAAGAAAGGGACUUUUAUCGACUUCUUCUGGAGUUUAGAGACUCUGACAUGAAGCAGGCUUUCCUUACUGAGGAGUUAGCAACGCUGCUAAGGGUGCAGAGCCACACAUGCGCUCAGAGCUCUGCAUGGGAGACUGAAGCUGACAGAGCUGCAGCAGUUAGCAGGUUUCACCCUCAGAGACCACCAGGGGUUCAUGUUGAGGAAUUUUAAUUUUUUUCUUUUUUGUGCCAUAGACACUGUCAGCACAAUCUGCAGUUACACUAACAAAAAUGCUGCAAAAAACAAAGAAUUAUGGAAAAAUUACACAUGGACUGACAUAGAGGAGGAUCUACACAAGUUUUUUACAUCAUGUUUUACAUCAUGCAUCAUUUACAUCAUGUUUUUUUGUAGUGGCAUAAAUAAAAAGUGACAUUUGUGAGACUAUACAGUGUUUUGUAAAUAAUUUUACAAAGAACACCUGAGCCAUUGCCUGCAUUUUGAUGUAAAUAGAGGUAAAUUACUAUGUUCUUUGUUAAAAAUUUGCAUAUGUUCUGAAGUUUACAAUUUUUAUUUGAAGUUUAAGUUUUAAAAACAGUUCAUCACACAUAUUUGUGGUUUUCACAGUAAAAACGUUACUUUUUUCCACUCGGAUUUUAUGUUUUGUGUGUGAAUUUGGGUCCAAUGUGUAAAUAUAGUAUGUCAAAAUGAUAAAAUAACUGUAAAUUGACACAGGUGAGGUUGUGCUGAAAAAAAUGAUACCAGGCAAGGCAAGGUAAAAAUUUUGUAAGAGGAAAUAUAAAGGUAAAAUCUAAAGUAGUCAAAAACGGCCAAUAGUGACUCACAGACUCCAUAGACAAGUCCCUUUGGCGCCACUCAGUGGGCAAAACUACUUUGUCUACUGUAAUGUAUAUUUGGGUCAUCUUUGGCGCCCCCUAAAACGUAAACCGUGGGGUGCAGCGUCAUGAUUUUUACAACUUUGAAUGGCCAUGGAGUGUAGAUUGGCCUGAGCAAAUUUGGUGUCAGUGGGACGAAAGCCUUAGGAGGAGUUAGCGAAAUUCCAAUGUGUGCGAAUCGGCAAAAAAUGCAAAAUAGCCCUUUUACCGUACAUUAUACAGAUACGCGCUCUUUGACUUUUUCGUAGAUCUAAUUGAGAUACACAUGAUUGUCAAUUUUUGUGUCAUUUUGCCAAAGCGUACAGGCGUGACAGUCAACAAUGUGUAUUUUCACCUUAGGGGACAAGAAAAAAUGGACUUUUUUCUCCUGCCAUGGGGGGGCGCUCUUUUAGGAAGUAAAAAUUCCUUCACAAAUGUGUUGAUGGCUGGACAUUGCAUCAUCCUAGAAAACUUGGAGGCCAGUGAGGACAAAAAUAAAAAGUUAUAAGACUUUUAAAAAUGUGGAUUUUUGGGUUAUCUUUGGCGCCCCCUAGAACCUAAACCGUGGGGUGCAGCGUCAUGAUUUGAAUAACUUUUAAUGGCCAUGGGGUGUAGAUUGGCCUGAGCAAAUGUGGUGCCGGUGGAACGAAAGCCUUCGGAGGAGUUAGCGAAAUUCCAAUGUGUGCGGAUCGGCAAAAAAUGCGAAAUAACCCUUUAACCGUACAUUUGACAGAUACGCCCGCACUGACUUUUUUGUAGAUCUUAUUGAGAUACAUGUGUGUGUCAAUUUUUGUGUCAUUUUGACAAAGCGUACAGGCGUGACAGUCAAUAGUGUGAAUUUUCACCUUAGGGGGCGCUAUGGAGCCAUUUUGCAUUUUCUUGUUUGGGCGACUUCGGAAUAUCGAAUUUUUCACCAGGCCCGGUCGUCCUGCCAAAUUUCCUGAGUUUUCGCCAGUGGGAAGUGGGCCAUUUUCCAGUUCAAAGGGGAGGAAAAAGAAGAAAGAAAGAAAGAAAGAACUAGGGCCCCGGUGGGGCACUGUCGGGCCCGAGCCGCGUCGCGCCGCCCCCAGCGCGACCGCCUCCCCCUCCCGAUCGCGUCACACUCAAGGUCCAAAGAUGGUGUGCUCACUUGUCUGUGGUCAUUUCCCAUUAUAAUGAAUGGGAGGCGCAGUUUCUACCAAAACACUCGCUGCAGACAAACUUCAUGUCCUAUUUGAAAAAAGUCUGGACCAUGAGUGAGGGCACAAACACAGCUAUGAUAUAUCGAAAUGGCAGGUUGCUCCUCCUUACGGUGUUGCCUGGAGAGCGAUGCGAUUGAGCCAUUGAGCGAUGGGCAGGGUAAACUUGACUUUUUCUCCUGCCUUGGGGGGGGGAUGUGGAUUCCUUUAAGAAUGUGGAUUUUUGGGUCAUCUUUGGCGCCCCCUAGAACGUAAACCGUGGGGUGCAGCGUCAUGAUUUUUACAACUUUGCAUGGCCAUGGGGUGUAGAUUGGCCUGAGCAAAUUUGGUGUCAGUGGGACGAAAGCCUUAGGAGGAGUUAGCCACAUUCCAAUGUGUGCGAAUCGGCAAAAAAUGCAAAAUAGCCCUUUAACCGUACAUUUGACAGAUACACGCGCAUUGACUUUUUUGUAGAUCUUAUUGAGAUACAUAUGUGUGUCAAUUUUUGUGUCAAUAUGAUAAAGCGUACAGGCGUGACAGUCAAUAGUGUGAAUUUCCACCUUAGGGGACAAGAAAAAAUUGACUUUUUUCUCCUGCCAUGGGGGGGCGCUCUUUUGGGGAGUAAAAAUUCCUUCACAAAUGUGUUGAUGGCUGGACAUUGCAUCAUCCUAGAAAACUUGGAGGCCAGUGAGGACAAAAAUAAAAAGUUAUAAGACUUUGAAAUAUGUGGAUUUUAGGGUUAUCUUUGGCGCCCCCUAGAACCUAAACCGUGGGGUGCAGCGUCAUGAUUUGAAUAACUUUUAAUGGCCAUGGGGUGUAGAUUGGCCUGAGCAAAUGUGGUGCCGGUGGAACGAAAGCCUUCGGAGGAGUUAGCGAAAUUCCAAUGUGUGCGGAUCGGCAAAAAAUGCGGAAUAACCCUUUAACCGUACAUUUGACAGAUACGCGCGCAUUGACUUUUUCGUAGAUCUUAUUGAGAUACAUGUGUGUGUCAAUUUUUGUGUCAUUUUGCCAAAGCGUACAGGUGUUACACUCAACAAUGUGUAUUUUCACCUUAGGGGACAAGAAAAAAUUGACUUUUUUCUCCUGCCAUGGGGGGGCGCUCUUUUGGGGAGUAAAAAUUCCUUCACAAAUGUGUUGAUGGCUGGACAUUGCAUCAUCCUAGAAAACUUGGAGGCCAGUGAGGGCAAAAAUAAAAAGUUAUAAGACUUUUAAAUAUGUGGAUCUUAGGGUUAUCUUUGGCGCCCCCUAGAACCUAAACCGUGGGGUGCAGCGUCAUGAUUUGAAUAACUUUUAAUGGCCAUGGGGUGUAGAUUGGCCUGAGCAAAUGUGGUGCCGGUGGAACGAAAACCUUCGGAGGAGUUAGCGAAAUUCCAAUGUGUGCGGAUCGGCAAAAAAUGCGAAAUAACCCUUUAACCGUACAUUUGACAGAUACGCCCGCACUGACUUUUUUGUAGAUCUUAUUGAGAUACAUGUGUGUGUCAAUUUUUGUGUCAUUUUGACAAAGCGUACACGCGUGACAGUCAAUAGUGUGAAUUUUCACCUUAGGGGGCGCUAUGGAGCCAUUUUGCAUUUUCUUGUUUGGGCGACUUCGGAAUAUCAAAUUUUUCACCAGGCCCGGUCGUCCUGCCAAAUUUCAUGAGUUUUCGCCAGUGGGAAGUGGGCCAUUUUCCAGUUCAAAGGGGAGGAAAAAUAAUAAUAAUAACAAAAGAAGGAAACAUGCAGGAACAAGAGGGCUCUCGCAGCUGCUUAGCAGCUACGCUCGGGCCCUAACUAGGGCCCCGGUGGGGCACUGUCGGGCCCGAGCCGCGUCGCGCCGCCCCGAGCGACCACCUCCCCCUCCCGAUCGCGUCACACUCAAGGUCCAAAGAUGGUGUGCGCACUUGUCUGUGGUCAUUUCCCAUUAUAAUCAAUGGGAGGCGCAGUUUCUACCAAAACACUCGCUGCAGACAAACUACAUAUCCUAUUUGAAAAAAGUCUGGACCAUGAGUGAGGGCACAAACACAGCUAGGAUAUAUCCAAACGGCAAGUUGCUCCUC
rnacentral:lncRNA from 1 species